rnacentral:lncRNA from 1 species
GAUGAAAGUAAAUCUAAAUGUUAGUAGCAAUGAACAAAGUUAGUUAACAGACUUCUUGUUCCAGCUUUGUUCAUGAGUUGAGGAUAUGCAAUAUAUGGUCUGUAAUUUUGUAAUAUCUAAGGAUAUGAAUGUACCAGCAUUUUCUCACUUACAGGACUUGUUCAAGUCAUUUGCCCGCUUCCUGUCUCACCUGCUGGCAAAAAGAAGGAAUUGUGGGAGGAGCCAAGUGAAAGCCGAAGCUGGACGCAUAAUCGAGAAGUUCUUCAGUAAAGUCCAACUCUGCAAGAGUGAGUCUGACUGGCUACCUCUGAGUAGGUCCACCUGCAUCAACAGUGAGAGCAGUUUGGAAACAGGACAGAACCAAAGUCACGGGCCACAUCCCUUCUAGCUCCUCUCAUCCAACAUCAAAUUCCUGAAUUUUCCCCAUAUUCCUGAAUCCAGAAUGCUGUUUCCUUGUCACAAGUUCUUGCUGCUCUGCCCCCUUCCUUUCUUACUCCUAAAACUGAAGGACAGCCCUUAUAUAGACUUUAGCAAACAAGAGGUAGUCAGAAGUGGGGCAGAUACAGCUUCUGGCACUGAUGCUAUGUCCACAGGAGUUCUAAUGCAAUGCGACAGUGUGCAUAAAUUUACAGAAGCAGGUUUCACUGCAUGGAGCUGCAAGUUCCUACAGAAGGGAAGUCGAUGUGCUCAGAUGGCCCCUUCUUUCUAGUUGCUAACAGCGGUGGGCUUUCUGUGCAUCUCAACUGGAUUCAAAUGCAAAUAGUAUACAUGAAAUGGGGUGUCAUUCAGCUAGCUGGGCAUGAAGAAUUUCUCUGACUUUGUUUUUUAUAUUUUAUUUUCUUUAGAUGAAUUAGUUUUUUUUCUUUUUCUCAGGGAAGUUACAUUUUUGUUACAACUACAGUAUAUGAAAAAUAUAGGCUCUUAAUUUUGUUUUAUUAGCUCACUUUUUGUGUUUAAAAGUAUAGUAACGUAGAUGCAUUGCCAUACUGCUGCAUUGGUAUUAUCAGGGAGAGCUGCUGUGUUUAUGUGAACAUUAAUGCUGCUGGAUGGCCUUUUCUCCAACCCAAAGAGUAUUAGGCUGUUGUAAUACAAUGGUUACAGGGAACAUUGAUUAAAAAGUGGUUUGAUAUACAUGCUGUUUCUUAAUUAUAAAAAAGUAAGAACCAGUUGUCUAAUAAAAAUGACACUUGAAUGCA